CCUGCUGAGUUUAAGCAUAUCAAUAAGCGAAGGAAAAGAAACUAACAAGGAUUCCCUUAGUAACGGCGAGCGUACCGGGAAGAGCCUAGCUUGAAAAUCAGACGUCUUCGGCGUUCGAAUUGUAGUCUGGAGAAGCAUCCUCAGCGACGAACCUGGCCCAAGUUCCCUGGAAAGGGCGCCAGAGAGGGUGAGAGCCCCGUCUUGCCCGGACCCUGUCGCACCAUGAGGCGUAAUCUACGAGUCGGGUAGUUUGGGAAUGCAGCCCCAAUAGGGCGGUAAAUUCCGUCCAAGACUAAAUAUAGGCGAGAGACCGAUAGCGAACAAGUACCGCGAGGUAAAGAUGAAAAGGACUUUGAAAAGAGAGUCAAAGAGUGCUUGAAUUGUCGGGAGGGAAGCGGACGGGGGCCGGCGAUUCAUCCCGGUCGGAUGCGGAACGGAGCAAUCCGGUCCGCUGAUCGAUUCGGGCCGUGGACCGACACAGAUUGAGGUGGUGACCUAUACCGAAGCUUUUUGUUACGCCCGCGGAGACGUUGCUGCCUUAAUCGUGGUCUGCAGCAUGCGCCUCACGGCGUGCCUUGGCAUCUGCGUGCUCAAGGCGUCGGCCUGUGGGCUCCCCAUUCUACCCGUUUUGAAAUACGGACCAAGGAGUCUGACAUGUGUGCCAGUCAAAGGGUGAGUAAACCCGUAAGGCGCAAGGAAGCUGAUUGGCUGGAUCCCUCACGGGUGCACAGCCGACCGACCUUGAUCUUCUGAGAAGGGUUCGACUGUGAGCAUGCCUGUCGGGACCCAGAAAACAGAAGCUCGAGGUGCCGCCAUGCAUGGAAGCUGCACAUGCAGCUUGACAUGUAGAAGCAC
rnacentral:ncRNA from 1 species